UACGGAGGGUGCGAGCGUUGUCCGGAAUCACUGGGCGUAAAGGGCGCGUAGGCGGCUAGGGAAGUCGGCGGUGAAAGCCCGGAGCUCAACUCCGGGUCGGCCGUCGAGACUCCUCGGCUCGAGCUCACUAGAGGCAGAUGGAAUUCCGGGUGUAGCGGUGGAAUGCGUAGAGAUCCGGAAGAACACCGGUGGCGAAGGCGGUCUGCUGGGGUGAGGCUGACGCUGAUGCGCGACAGCGUGGGGAGCAAACAGG
rnacentral:rRNA from 1 species